AUGGCGCCUCGCCCUGCAGCAGCAGCCGGCCUCGCCGUGAGCACCGUUGUAGCGCUGCUCGUGGUCCUCGUCGUGGCCUGCCAGCUGCCGCGCGCCACCGGCGGCGGCGUGACGACGGUCCAGGCCUUCGACGGGACGGCGGCCCUGGGGCUGGAGCAGUGCGCGGCGGACGAGCAGGAGCUGGUCCGGACGCGGACCGCCAGGUACAUCAGCUACGCGGCGCUGCGGGCCGACGCGAUCCCGUGCAACAAGCGCGGGCAGUCCUACUACACCAACUUCGGGUCGAUGCAGCAGGCCAACCCCUACACCCGCGGCUGCUCCGCCAUCACGCGCUGCGCCCGCAACAUGAACUGA
rnacentral:rRNA from 1 species